GAUGAACGCUGGCGGCGUGCCUAAUACAUGCAAGUCGAGCGAACAGACGAGGAGCUUGCUCCUCUGACGUUAGCGGCGGACGGGUGAGUAACACGUGGAUAACCUACCUAUAAGAGUGGGAUAACUUCGGGAAACCGGAGCUAAUACCGGAUAAUAUACUGAACCGCAUGGUUCAAUAGUGAAAGACGGUUUUGCUGUCACUUAUAGAUGGAUCCGCGCCGCAUUAGCUAGUUGGUAAGGUACAGGCUUACCAAGGCAACGAUGCGUAGGCGACGUGAGAGGCGGAUCGGCCACACGGGAACUGAGACACGGUCCAGGCUCCUAUGGGAGGCAGCAGUAGGGAAUGUUCCGCAAUGGGCGGAAGCCUGACGGAGCAAGGCCGCGUGAGUGAUGAAGGUCUUCGGAUCGGAAAACUCUGUUAUUAGGGAAAAACAAAUGUGUAAGUAACUAUGCACGUCUUGACGGUACCGAGUCAGAAAGCCACGGCUAACUACGUG
rnacentral:rRNA from 1 species